AUGAUGAUUAUUCCCCACCUUCUAAGAGACAAAGACCAACGAUCCACCACAGCCACCAGUCCCAGAACCCGCCAAUGCUGGGGAAUGGAAAAUGAGGGAGUUCAACUCUGAGAAAUGGAAUCAUCGUAUCGCUGAUCUGCGUAAACAAAUUGAAGAAUUGUCUGAAAGAAAAUAUGCUCGAGCUGUAAAAGCCAAAGGUCCAGUGAUGAUCCCAUACCCUUUUGUCCAGUCUCAUGUUGAAGAUUUUUAUGUAGAAGGCCUUCCCAAAGGAGAAGGCUUUCUACUAAUGGAAUUCCUGGCCUUGAGAGGAUGUUACUUUCGAAGGAAAGGAUUUUUUUGUUAUUAAAAG
rnacentral:lncRNA from 1 species